UACGAGGGGGGCGAGCGUUGUUCGGAAUUAUUGGGCGUAAAGGGUGCGUAGGCGGUUUGGUAAGUCUGAUGUGAAAUCUAUGGGCUCAACUCAUAGUCUGCAUCGGAAACUGCCGGGCUUGAGUAUGGGAGGGGUGAGUGGAAUUCCUGGUGUAGCGGUGAAAUGCGUAGAUAUCAGGAGGAACACCUGUGGCGAAAGCGGCUCACUGGACCAUAACUGACGCUGAUGCACGAAAGCUAGGGGAGCAAACAGG
rnacentral:rRNA from 1 species